GUUGUGUCCGUGCGGUCUUUGAGUUUGCGGGCUGUCGCAGCAUUUUCACGGUGCUUUAAGAGGGUUGGCGUGCUGGUCUCCGUCGCUGGGUCUAUGUCUCUCGAGGACACUUUUAGUAGGUGCACGUGCGUGUGUUAGGUCGCUGGUGUCGGCUUCCGCAACUGGCUUGUACCACUGCCCGAAAAGGCUCAGCGUGGUCCUGGCUUUUCCCCCGCUGUGUAGGUUGACCCGAGUUGGGUUGUAACAGGUACUUGCCGGUUCCUUCUUGGCCCUUGGCAGCUUGCCUCCAGUGUGAGGUGUACGCCUCCACCUUGCUGCUUACUUGGGUGCCUCGGCUUAUGAUCUCUGCCAUCUUGUUGCGACCUUCGAGUGUUGGAACUCUAUCACAGCCCGUGGUGCUGGUGUUGCUGCUCGCUGGCGGGCCUAGGGUGGGGACCGGGAUCUCCCCCCCGGUCCAGAGGGGGAGAAACGGGGCCAGACCCCCCUAGCCACGUGUCUCACUCGCACCGCUGGUGAGCAGGAUAGCGGGGCACCGGCCGUCCACUCCACUCACCGCCUGAGCACUCCCCAUUGCAGAGACAGAGAGCACCCCUCCGAGGGACUAAAACUUAGCAGCAAGCCUCUCCUCGGGAUCAGGGUGGUUGCAUACACAGGGUUGCCGUCUCUUUAUCGUCGGAUAGGUAGUAAAUCUGUUUUUAAGCGUUAAAACUCAUAGAAGUUGC